rnacentral:misc_RNA from 1 species
UCCAGCAGUCUGGCAGUCUGCCUAGACAACCACGUAACUAAUGACAAGGGUUGCGCUCGUUGCGGGACUUAACCCAACAUCUCACGACACGAGCUGACGACAGCCAUGUAGCACCUGUGUGAAGGUUCUCUUUCGAGCACUCCCUAAUCUCUUAAGGAUUCCUUCCAUGUCAAGGGUAGGUAAGGUUUUUCGCGUUGCAUCGAAUUAAUCCACAUCAUCCACCGCUUGUGCGGGUCCCCGUCAAUUCCUUUGAGUUUUAAUCUUGCGACCGUACUCCCCAGGCGGUCUACUUCACGCGUUAGCUGCGUUACCAAGUCAAUUAAGACCCGACAACUAGUAGACAUCGUUUAGGGCGUGGACUAC